rnacentral:rRNA from 1 species
UGGGGAAUCUUGCACAAUGGGGGAAACCCUGAUGCAGCGACGCCGCGUGAACGAUGAAGCCCUUCGGGGUGUAAAGUUCUUUCGACAGGAACGAUAAUGACGGUACCUGGAGAAGAAGCUGCGGCUAACUACGUGCCAGCAGCCGCGGUAAUACGUAGGCAGCGAGCGUUGUUCGGAGUUACUGGGCGUAAAGAGUGCGUAGGCGGCGAGCCAAGUUUGGUGUGAAAUCUCCCGGCUUAACUGGGAGGGUGCGCCGAAAACUGGUUGGCUGGAGUAUGGGAGAGGAAAGCGGAAUUCCUGGUGUAGCGGUGAAAUGCGUAGAUAUCAGGAGGAACACCUGCGGUGUAGACAGCUUUCUGGACCAAAACUGACGCUGAGGCACGAAAGCGUGGGUAGCAAACA